GAGCAAAUGAAACUAACUUUUGGCGACCUGAUGAUCAUUCAGACUGUGUUUCUAUUGAGAGAUAAAAGGCUGGUUGAAUGAGUUGUCUAUGAAAGCUACUUCAUCUGUAAGAAAACAGGCGUCUGCUCCAGUGACUGGGUCAGUGCUCUAAAAUGAGUCUCUCUGGGGAGAGAAAGGAGGGGGGCCCUGCCUCUAAAAUGAGUCACUCUGGGGAGAGAGAGGAGGGGGUCCCUGCCUCUAAAAUGAGUCUCCUUGGAGCGAGAAAGAAGGGGGGCCCUGCCUCUAAAAUGAGUCUCUCUGGGGAACAUGGCACCAAAGC